AGAGUUUGAUCAUGGCUCAGAUUGAACGCUGGCGGCAGGCUUAACACAUGCAAGUCGAGCGGGGUGAUGUAGCUUGCUACAUUACCUAGCGGCGGACGGGUGAGUAAUGCUUAGGAAUCUGCCUAUUAGUGGGGGACAACAUUCCGAAAGGAAUGCUAAUACCGCAUACGCCCUACGGGGGAAAGCAGGGGAUCUUCGGACCUUGCGCUAAUAGAUGAGCCUAAGUCAGAUUAGCUAGUUGGUGGGGUAAAGGCCUACCAAGGCGACGAUCUGUAGCGGGUCUGAGAGGAUGAUCCGCCACACUGGGACUGAGACACGGCCCAGACUCCUACGGGAGGCAGCAGUGGGGAAUAUUGGACAAUGGGCGAAAGCCUGAUCCAGCCAUGCCGCGUGUGUGAAGAAGGCCUUUUGGUUGUAAAGCACUUUAAGCGAGGAGGAGGCUACUUAGAUUAAUACUCUAGGAUAGUGGACGUUACUCGCAGAAUAAGCACCGGCUAACUCUGUGCCAGCAGCCGCGGUAAUACAGAGGGUGCGAGCGUUAAUCGGAUUUACUGGGCGUAAAGCGUGCGUAGGCGGCUUUUUAAGUCGGAUGUGAAAUCCCUGAGCUUAACUUAGGAAUUGCAUUCGAUACUGGGAAGCUAGAGUAUGGGAGAGGAUGGUAGAAUUCCAGGUGUAGCGGUGAAAUGCGUAGAGAUCUGGAGGAAUACCGAUGGCGAAGGCAGCCAUCUGGCCUAAUACUGACGCUGAGGUACGAAAGCAUGGGGAGCAAACAGGAUUAGAUACCCUGGUAGUCCAUGCCGUAAACGAUGUCUACUAGCCGUUGGGGCCUUUGAGGCUUUAGUGGCGCAGCUAACGCGAUAAGUAGACCGCCUGGGGAGUACGGUCGCAAGACUAAAACUCAAAUGAAUUGACGGGGGCCCGCACAAGCGGUGGAGCAUGUGGUUUAA
rnacentral:rRNA from 1 species